UACGUAGGGGGCUAGCGUUGUCCGGAAUCAUUGGGCGUAAAGCGCGUGUAGGCGGUCCGGUAAGUCCGCUGUGAAAGUCGGGGGCUCAACCCUCGGAUGCCGGUGGAUACUGUCGGGCUUGAGUACGGAAGAGGCGAGUGGAAUUCCUGGUGUAGCGGUGAAAUGCGCAGAUAUCAGGAAGAACACCUAUGGCGAAGGCAGCUCUCUGGGACGGUACUGACGCUGAGACGCGAAAGCUAGGGGAGCAAACAGG
rnacentral:rRNA from 1 species